rnacentral:rRNA from 1 species
GACGUAGGGCGCGAGCGUUGUCCGGAUUUAUUGGGCGUAAAGAGCUCGUAGGCGGCUCGUUGCGUCGGCUGUGAAAACCCGCAGCUCAACUGUGGGCUUGCAGCUGAUACGGGCGGGCUGGGAUUCGGUAGGGGAGACUGGAAUUCCUGGUGUAGCGGUGAAAUGCGCAGAUAUCGGGAGGAACACCGGUGGCGAAGGCGGUUCUCUGGGCCUUACCUGACGCUGAGGAGCGAAAGUGUGGGGAGCGAACAGG